AAGGGAGAGAGACAGGUCUUAACCGCCCUACUACAAACGCGACUUCACUCACACAACCACAACGAACCUGUAGCCUUAGCCGCGGGCGCCUACCCCCUCACAUCCGCACCAUCCCUUCCUUCACCACACGGACUCCACUUGUUGCAGUGAUCGUCAACACAAGCGCACGGCCUCAUCUUUCUCUGCACCUCUCCUCCCUCCCUCUCCCUUUCUCUGCCCUUACCUUCAGUUGUUUCUUUUCCUCACCCUCUGGUUCGGUUCCUCGCGCUGCGCUCCCCCUGGCGAGGGCAUCUCCGAAGCCUUUGGUGGUUAACGUUUCUCUGGCCCUCCCCUCCCCACGUCUGUCUUGCUUUUUUUUCCCGUUUCUCCGCUGCGGUUCUUGUGAGCUCGCCGUGACUUCACCGGCGCGUGCUCUCUCUGUGUGGGCCAGCGCGUUUGCCUUUGUUUGUGUCUCGGCACGUGCACGGCUCGCCGCCGCCGCCCCGUUUUUCCUUUGCUGCGCGUCCUUUGAUUCUCAACCCCCCCCCUCCCCACCCAGUGUCCCCUUCUUUUACAUUAUUUGUGCAGAGGAGGAGCAGACCGAGCUGCCAGUACGCUUGCCACUUUCUAUUCCCGUCUUUGCCUGGUUGCGGUCGUGAUUGUUUCUGUCGUAUGGUUCUCAUUUUUCUCUUGCCGCUUUCCUAAGUUGCUCGCCUCGUGUGCUCGGUUCCCCUGCUGUCUCCACCGCCACCCCUCUCUUGCGAUCUUUCUCGCACUUUUCGAUUUUGAAGAUUCUGUUUUGCGCUUCCGCGGGCUCAUACGUGCUUGGCACUUGCGCCACCCUUUCCCUCUCUCUCACACACACGCUGUUGCUGCUCUCUUUCUCGUUGAGAGUAGCAACACCAACACAGCAUACCAGCAACAACGGCAGCGCACUCGCAACAAUUGAACGGACAAUAAAAUGGCGGAGGCUAUUCCCAUCUCUAGCCAGCAGGUCUCCGACAACGGCGAGGUGGAGCUGCAGUUCAAGGACAUCCUCGGCCCCAUUGGUUGCAAGACAUGCAAGUACGAGAGGGUGCGCGAGCUCGGUUCCGGGUCUUUUGGCAAGGCGCUGCUGGUGCGUCGGGUAUCGGAUGGGCAGCUGCUCGUUGCCAAGCGCAUGGACCUGGCGGCGAUGUCAGAGAAGGACACGAAGUACGCGACGGCGGAGAUUCAGUGUCUCGCCUCAUGCGAUCACUUCGCCAUCAUCAAGUACUACGAAGAUUACGUGGCGGAGCCGCACAUGCUCAUCAUCAUGGAGUUCGCUGACGCCGGCGACCUGAACAUGCAAAUCAAGCAGCGCGCCAAGGCUGGGUUCAUCUACUUCGAGGAGCACGAAGUCGGCUACACCUUUGUGCAGCUAGCCAUGGCGGUGGACCACAUUCACCGCCGCCGCAUGCUGCACCGCGACAUCAAAGGCGCCAAUGUCAUGCUCAUGACAAACGGCGUCAUCAAGCUUGGUGAUUUUGGCUUCAGUCACCAGUACGAGAAUACGGUCAGUGACCAGGUCGCGCAGACGUUUUGCGGCACGCCGUACUACCUCGCUCCGGAGCUGUGGAACCACCAACGGUACAGCAAGAAAGCGGACGUGUGGGCCAUGGGCAUCCUUCUCUUUGAGAUGAUGGCGCUGCGCCGUCCGUUUGUGGGGCAGGGCAUGCGGGCGCUGUCGGAGGCGGUCAUGAGCAACAGGCGCGACUGCGAGCUGCCACAGCAGUACAGCCGCUCACUUAAAGAUUUGUGCAAUAUUAUGCUGCGGACAGAUCCGAAUCAACGCCCCUCAUGCGCGCAGCUCUUCAAGCUUCCACACAUGAUGAAACUGCUCUUGGACUUCGGGACGAGCGUCGACAACUCGCAGCUCGUGAGUGACGCCCUCAAGAAGAAGAUCCACGCAAAUAUCUGUGAAAUUCGUGACACAAGCGUGAAUGACCCGGAGACGUUCACCUUUGUCGGCCAUGUCGGCACCGUGAGCUCGUCCGUUUUCUACGAGGGCUACGUGCGUAAGGAGAGCGGCAAAACGUGGAAGGAGCGCUUUCUCGUGUUGCGUGACGGUGGCCUUGUGAUCAGCCGCCACAAGGGCGACAAGGAGACGAAGCCGCUGCCCGUGACGUUCAUCAACAGCGCCGUCUUUGUGCCGGAGCAGUCUGCCUGCUCGACUGGCGUCUUCGCGAUCAACCUAGCAGACACGAAGACAAUGUGGUUCCAGGCGCUGCCGCCGGAAACAGCGGAAAUUUGGGUGCAUAAGAUUCAGCAGUCGAUUGGUGUAUCGUAGCCCGGCGAGGAAAGGACUCGAUCGGUGCGACGCAACACCCACUAAACGACAAGGGCAUGCGUCCAAACUGAAUCGAGCAGCCCAUCGGUAUCGCAUUUCAGCUGCCGAACAGAACGCUUGUUUCGCCGCGUUGGAGGAGCGCGCAGCCAUCAGCGGCUGAGGCGACUUUUGUGUAUUUUUUUUUGUGCAUCUUUGUGUGCGCGCGCGUGCUCUCAUUCGUACCCUGUACUAGUGUGCUUGGGUGGAUUGGCGUGGUGAUGCGUGGUGCUUGCGCACCCAACAACGAUAAAAAAGCCGAAGAAGUGAUGCAAAAGGAUGCUCACCACACGAACAGACGCUUCACCGCUGCCAGUCACCACCACCAGCCACCAACCACCAACCACACGCCCACCCGUCCCACCUCCCUCUCUUAGGCAUAUUUGCUGUUUGGUUUUCACUGUACCUUGCCUGCUCCUCUCUCUCUCCUGCUCCGCGGAAGCGUCAAGAUGUACGAAGGAUAUAUGAGGAGGGGGUGGGGCGGGCGUAAUGGGCAGUCGCACACCGACACCACCAAAGUGAUGGAGGCGAAUACGACACACGAAAAAAAAAAGGUGCGGGGAAGGUAUGCUUCUUUUUCGCUUUUUUCGCCCGUUUUUUGACGUGCCUAUUCUGCCGCACAGCAUGGGCUGAACUCCGGUCAACCACCGCUCCUCAGAGGCCCCACACCUCGUGGUGCGUAGCAGCGGCAGCGCGCCGACGCAGCCAUCUGAGCACAGGCCCUGCCUCAGCCUCUACCAGCCUCUUCUACGCACGCAGCCCCACAGGCGCUUCCGUUAUGCCGGCGGCCACCCCUGGUGCAUCCCCCCUCGGGGUGGCACUCAGGCGCCCCACACCAGUGGGCAGCGGGAGGGCCGGUGGUGGGACGCAUUCGAGCCGCGCUGGCACUUUGCCCACCACACGGAUGGUACAAGGGUGUCCACGGUCGCGGGUCGGUCCGAUGCAACGCCAUCCAAAAACUGGCCGCUGACAUCAGUGGCGAUGCAUCGCUCGGACCCUUCCCCCAUGUCGUGGGCGCCUGACCCUGUCACCACCAGAGUUGGCUCGGCGCUUGGAAGGGUUAGGAGGGAGCGACUGCCUGGCUUCGCCGCCGAGUGGGGCUCUGGGCCACGGGAUACCGCGCACUGAGGUGUCCCACACCAUCAGGGGACGGCCAGAGAGGCGGGUGAGUGGAAGGCGCCAAUUCGCGUAAAAAAUGAGAGUUUGCUGCGCUUACUCGUCUUUGUGCCAGCGGUGACCACGUGCGGUUGUCUUCACAAGUCCUCAAGCUGCUCCUCCUUUUUGCUAAGGUUUUCUGCACUUGUUUUCGUUUCUCUUUCAGUUUAUCAACUCCUCGUGCUGAUUUCCUCUCUUCUUCUAUACGUCUGCCUUUGCAUGCUUCUCACAAGGUUUUUUCUUCCUGUUCGUCGGCGAUCUGACCAUCCACAUGCGAGGGGUGCGAUGGGGGCAAUGUAGCCAUUUCAACUCAGAAUUUUUUCAUGGAUUUUAUGCAGGCGCAAGUGUGCGGACGUACGUGUCAACUAGCACGACUUCGACCGUUAUCUUUCUCUUCUCUCUUCCUCUCUUUCACAGCACACAUACGUCUAUGAGCACAUACCCGCACCCCUUGCACCACUCACAUGCAUUACAAACAAAAAGAAACAUGCGCUUGCUCGCUUUUUUCUUUCUGUGCUUGGAUUGUGCUCGGCCUUCCAUGCUCUACCUCUCAUUGGCUUCUCUCUUUCUGGCGCCCUAUGUGGCUUGCCGGAUUUUUUUUUUUGAGCUCCCUCCUCUCGAAGCUCUUGCAGUAUGCGUCUCUGUGCUGCUGACGUUCGUGCGUGCUCGUGCGUCUCUCUUUCUAGGUGUCUUUGUCUGCAGCUUGAUGCAGUUUGCCUUCUUCUUUCUUUCCUGUACUUAAUGCGUGGCGUGUAUCUUCCAGGACGAUCCCUCGUUAUGGCUGCGCGCAGCAAGGGAAAAAAAGGGGAGGAAGGGGCAGUGGUGGCGGUGGUGGCGACGCAUGCGAUUUCUGUCAUCAUCUUCACUUGAAGGCGAAAAAAUGGAGACGUGUGCUUUGUUUUCCUUGCCAGCCCCCCCCCUCCCCUUUUUCCGGAAGCAGUGCCCCGUGCUAUCACCUGUAUAGGUGAGGACGGGCAGUGCGGUGGUGCAGAGUCCAUGAUAAGCGAGCGCAAAGAUGGGUAAUAAAGGAUAGGGGCGAUGGCUAAGUUCGGCGGGCACGGCUUGUGACAUGUGAGAGGGCGAGAGGAAAGUGCGCAUGUGAGUGUUGCAUGGUGCCCACAGUUGCAUGAGGCAGCCUGGAGUACCUUUAGGUGUUUAUUUUAUUUUUUGAGCGUUGUCCCCCCGCUGUUACACUUCGAGCCCUUUUCGCUCUUUUCCACAUCCCUUCCCUAUGAUGGACGCUCAUGUAUUCUAUUCGAUGAGAUGAUCAGCAGGCGACUCUCUGAGCCCAUACACGCGCGCUCAUUGUAAGUCAAGCAGCGGCGACAGGAAGGGUGUCUAGAUGAUAAUCUUCCUCGACAUGUAGGGUUAGUUUCUUUCUUUUCCUUCUCCCUCUCUUCACAAUCGCAUGUGUGUGAGUACGCGUUUAUGCCAUACUUACAGACGAUCAGACGGACAAGUGUGCACGGCACCCCUCUCUGCCCUCGCUGCAUACGUGACGAAGAAGAACCAGCACCGUGUGUGUCUCUGCGUGCGAAUGCGCGCAUGCCUGUUUCUUGCGCUUCUUUCGUAUUCCUUUAAUGUCUUUUAUUUAGCGCAAUGCCCGUUUGCCCAUGCUUAUCUCGGCAUCACCAGGGGCGUUGUGCUGCAUGUCUCCAUGUCUCCAUGCUCUUUUUUUUUUCGUUUCUCCUCAUGUUCUCAUUGUCCGCUCACUUCACCGUUUCUUUUAGUUUUUUUUUUUGCUUUGCUGUUGUUUCUUCUUCACCUUCCUUUUUUCCUUUCUUCAUCAUCUAUCUACACGUGUAUAUAUAUAUGUAUAGAUGUUGCAUUUUCGUGGUGUGGGUGGGGGUGGCCUCGUUUUCCUUGUCUUACGUGUCUUGGUCGUCUCACAAAUUCCUUCGUUGCUUUUCGUGCGCCUCCUUUACCUGUUGCUGCUUUUCUUUGUAUUUGCCUGCCCGCCUUUUUCCGCGCUGUUGAUGGUGGUCUCGCUUCCCUCCGCCGCGAUGGCGUUUUUCGGAUCGCCCCAUCCCUUAAUGCAAGACCGUAACUAUAUAGGUGUGUGUGUGUGUCUGUGCCAAUGCACGUUGGCCUUUGCAUGCGCGUAUCUGCUGCACCUUUCCUUUUUCGGACGUAACCCACACUGUGAUGAUGACGGGGAGGAGCGCGCCUCAGUGUGCGGUAUCCCGUGGCCCAGAGCCCCACUCGGCGGCGAAGCCAGGCAGCCGCUCCCUCCUAACCCUUCCAAGCGCCGAGCCAACUCUGGUGGUGACAGGGUCAGGCGCCCACGACAUGGGGGAAGGGUCCGAGCGAUGCAUCGCCACUGAUGUCAGCGGCCAGUUUUUGGAUGGCGUUGCAUCGGACCGACCCGCGACCGUGGACACCCUUGUACCAUCCGUGUGGUGGGCAAAGUGCCAGCGCGGCUCGAAUGCGUCCCACCACCGGCCCUCCCGCUGCCCACUGGUGUGGGGCGCCUGAGUGCCACCCCGAGGGGGGAUGCACCAGGGGUGGCCGCCGGCAUAACGGAAGCGCCUGUGGGGCUGCGUGCGUAGAAGAGGCUGGUAGAGGCUGAGGCAGGGCCUGUGCUCAGAUGGCUGCGUCGGCGCGCUGCCGCUGCUACGCACCACGAGGUGUGGGGCUGCUGACGGACUGUGGGUAGAGUGGAGAUCAAAUCAUGCCGCGCGGCAGAGAAAUGGGCGCGCUGCAGAGGAGCCAAGCAUAGAAAAAAAAGAAAGCGCAACCCGCACAUGCGUAAAAACGCAAACAAAAGCGGUGAAAAGUACGCAAGAGGUGUGCUUUCUUUUUUUUUUUGUCUUUCCUCUUCUUUCUUUGCGCUGCUCGACCUUCUCGCUCUCUUGUCUUGCGGCUUUUAAUCGUUUUCCGGUAACGCGCAGCUGUGCCUUGUGCGUGACGUUUCUCCGUAUGCGUGCCCAGUACAUCUCUCUCUCGGCUCCUGUUGGCCGUCUCAGCUCUCCCGAGCACUUCCCUUCUUUCUUCCUGUCCAUGCGUGGCUUUGUGGUGCGCAUCUUUCUUGCACCGUUUUGCGCCUCUCUGAGCUCUCUGCAGAGACAUGUUUCCCACGAGCGCGGGUGCCCCCCUUUGUUUCUCACGCACUCGCACAAGAGACGCUGGGGCGUAUGUCGCUCUCUCUGUCUCUCUUGCACGAGUGAAGCGACGCAGGCUUUGUGACGCGAUGCACCUCUGUGAGCAAUCUGCAGCUUGCCACGACGAAAGAAGGGAGAGAGGAAGGGAAGACGGGAGAGAUUGUGGUGUCACGGGCGAGAGAGAGGAGACACCAAGGCACGCUGUGGACGCAUCGUAUUCGGAAUCAAAAGCGCAGGCAACGCUGCAGCUGCAAGCACGUCUGUGUGUCUGUGUGUGUCGGAAGAGGGGGGAUGGGGCACGUACACCAAGAGCGAAAGAGGAGAUGCGGGCCGACUUUUCCCCCCUUCUUUUGGCAAAGAAAGAACAGGGAAGCGGGAGGCGGGAGGCGUGCCGUGCGAGUGGUGAUGCUGUAAGGCCGUUUGUCCCUGCGGCUGAUGUAAAGUGGCGCGGAGGAGGAUGAAGAGGAUGCCGCCAUUGUAUUCGUUUUCGACUCACCGCGUGCGUUCUCUCUCUCUCUCUCCCUCUCCUUCGCUCGCCCUCUCACCAGGGGUGGGGGAGGGGCGUGUGGUUGUUUGAGGGGGGAGGGUGCUGUUGCCGUUGUUGCUAGUCUGCUCGACACGGCGGGGUGACAGCGCAACCAAAACCCUGCGAAAGAAAAAGGAAAUAGCACAGCUUGCUCUAUCAUCUGUUGACCGAUGUAGAGAUACGCGUCAGCGAGAUGUGUUUUGCUUGUUCUUUGUUAUGUUUAGGGCGCCACGGAUAUGAAGCACUUCGAGAGUCAGCAUGAUGAGAAGACAAGGCCAACCCACAAGAGUGUAGACUCUGAUCAGCUGAGAUACUCACCUGGGCGCUCGUGCCAGUGGCUUGUUGACGACCAAUAAGAGCAUUUCCACGUAGGCGGGGGCGCCUUGGAGGAGGGCCAUACUUGUGUGCGUGCGUGCGUGAAGGGAAAGGUGCUGCUCUCUUUCUGUUGCUUCGACAACACCCGUCUUCUCCCUGCAAC
rnacentral:misc_RNA from 1 species